UGUAAAGGAGAAGAAAACUAAAUUAUAUAAAUAAGUUAAUGCCCUGUUUGCAGUUUUAAACUGUUGGGGCUUAUAAAUUGAGUUUAAGGAGGAGGCGUAGAAGGUGCUGUAAGUCUUAAGCAAGGCCAUUUGAGCGGUCAAGGCAAAAUUUUAAGUUUCCUUCUAAAGAAGGUUCUAGUAGGUCUUGGCCUACUUAAUUGCUGUAAUACAAAUAUAGCGUUUUAAAGCAGAGUAAAAAUUUGUCUGUUUGCAAUCAGGUGUAAUCUGAUUGCAAAAGAAUAUCGUAAAGAAGCUCAGAUUUAAUCAGAUUUAAAAUAUAAUCGCAAAUAUUUCCAUUUGGGAAUUCGAUCAGUAUAUCGUAAAACCUUUUAAGCAGAUCAUUGCGGAAAGUAUUCUGUUUCGUUUCAGCGGAGGAAGCGAUAGCCAGAUGUCUCCUUUUGUUUCAGCAUUCUGCAAAAAUGUUGAAGUUUUCGUGAUUAAUUUGCCAUUGCUGAAGUUCUCUCCAUUGGUGGAUUUCAGGAUUCAGAAGCUUCUGCUGUUAUCCUCGACUAUUUGCGUGUGAAAAUAUUACACUGGCUUGUGUGAUUACUUGCGUUGAACCUUAUUGGAAAAAUGGAGGAGGAGCAGUUCAAUUUGGAAAUUCAAGCCCUUCAUUUGGUUGAGCGAAAUUACAAUGUGAAGGAUGAUGAUGAUCAUACAAAUAGUUCAAUUUUCUCCACUUCUGUUGAAAAAUCUGUACAUGUUCGUCAGCACUGGAAAGAAGCUGCCAAGAAAGCUUUGCAUCUUUCUGAUCCAUGGGAAGAAUUUCAUCUCGAGCAGCUGGAAACUGAAGUUGUGUGUCGCUAUAGAUUCAAUGCAGUGCGUCAGACUUGGGUGAAAGAUGAGGUGUUGGUUAAA